UACGGGGGGGGCAAGCGUUGUUCGGAAUUACUGGGCGUAAAGGGCUCGUAGGCGGCCAACUAAGUCGGAUGUGAAAUCCCCAGGCUCAACUUGGGAACUGCAUCCGAUACUGGAUGGCUUGAAUUCGGGAGAGGGAUGCAGAAUUCCAGGUGUAGCGGUGAAAUGCGUAGAUAUCGGGAGGAACACCGGUGGCGAAGGCGAUUCUCUGGGCCUGACCUGACGCUGAGGAGCGAAAGCGUGGGGAGCGAACAGG
rnacentral:rRNA from 1 species